CCUAACACAUGCAAGUCGAGCGGAUGAAGAGAGCUUGCUCUCUGAUUUAGCGGCGGACGGGUGAGUAAUGCCUAGGAAUCUGCCUGAUAGUGGGGGACAACGUUUCGAAAGGAACGCUAAUACCGCAUACGUCCUACGGGAGAAAGCAGGGGACCUUCGGGCCUUGCGCUAUCAGAUGAGCCUAGGUCGGAUUAGCUAGUUGGUGAGGUAAUGGCUCACCAAGGCGACGAUCCGUAACUGGUCUGAGAGGAUGAUCAGUCACACUGGAACUGAGACACGGUCCAGACUCCUACGGGAGGCAGCAGUGGGGAAUAUUGGACAAUGGGCGAAAGCCUGAUCCAGCCAUGCCGCGUGUGUGAAGAAGGUCUUCGGAUUGUAAAGCACUUUAAGUUGGGAGGAAGGGCAUUAACCUAAUACGUUAGUGUUUUGACGUUACCGACAGAAUAAGCACCGGCUAACUUCG
rnacentral:rRNA from 1 species